rnacentral:rRNA from 1 species
ACGGGGUGCAGCAGGCGCGAAAACUUCGCAAUGUGGGAAACCACGACGAGGGGAGUCCAAGUGCUUGCACAAUGUGUAGGCUGUUUCCGUGCCUAAAAAGCACGGAGAGUAAGGGCUGGGUAAGACGGGUGCCAGCCGCCGCGGUAAUACCCGCAGCCCGAGUGGUGGUCGCUAUUAUUGGGCCUAAAACGUCCGUAGCCCGCCCGGUAAAUUCUUGGGGAAAUCGGUCAGCUUAACUGACCGAAGUCCGAGGAGACUGCCGGGCUUGGGACUGGGUGAGGUCAGAGGUACUUCAGGGGUAGGGGUAAAAUCCUGUAAUCCUUGAAGGACCACCAGUGGCGAAGGCGUCUGACUAGAACGGAUCCGACGGUAAGGGACGAAGCCCUGGGGCACAAACGGGAUUAGAUACCCCGGUAGUCCAGGGUGUAAACGCUGUGGGCUUGGUGUUGGGAGUCCUACGAGGGCGCCCAGUGCCGGAGAGAAGUUGUUAAGCCUACUGCCUGGGAGUACGCUCG